GCAUGGGUUUGGAUUUAUGGCAGGCCCGACCCCCUGGGUCUUUCCUAGUGCCCUAUGCCAGAGCAAACUGUGGCCUUGAACCAUUGCCUGGCUUCUGCCUGUGGGCUGCUGGCCCCGAAGCAGGUCGCACAGUG